UACGUAGGGUGCAAGCGUUAAUCGGAAUUACUGGGCGUAAAGCGUGCGCAGGCGGUUUUGUAAGACUGUCGUGAAAUCCCCGGGCUCAACCUGGGAAUGGCGAUGGUGACUGCAAGGCUAGAGUUUGGCAGAGGGGGGUAGAAUUCCACGUGUAGCAGUGAAAUGCGUAGAUAUGUGGAGGAACACCGAUGGCGAAGGCAGCCCCCUGGGUCAAAACUGACGCUCAUGCACGAAAGCGUGGGGAGCAAAC
rnacentral:rRNA from 1 species